rnacentral:rRNA from 1 species
UUGUAAUUUGUAGAGGAUGCUUUUGAUGCGGUGCCUUCCGAGUUCCCUGGAACGGGACGCCAUAGAGGGUGAGAGCCCCGUCUGGUCGGAUGCCAAAUCUCUGUAAAGCUCCUUCGACGAGUCGAGUAGUUUGGGAAUGCUGCUCUAAAUGGGAGGUAUAUGUCUUCUAAAGCUAAAUAUUGGCCAGAGACCGAUAGCGCACAAGUAGAGUGAUCGAAAGAUGAAAAGCACUUUGAAAAGAGGGUUAAAUAGUACGUGAAAUUGUUGAAAGGGAAGCGCCUAUGACCAGACUUGGGCCCGGUGAAUCAUCCAGCGUUCUCGCUGGUGCACUUUGCCGGGCACAGGCCAGCAUCAGUUUGUCUUGGGGGAAAAAGGCUUUGGGAACGUGGCUCCCUCGGGAGUGUUAUAGACCAUUGCAUAAUACCCUGGGACGGACUGAGGUUCGCGCAUCUGCAAGGAUGCUGGCGUAAUGGUCAUCAGCGACCCGUCUUGAAACACGGACCAAGGAGUCGUCUUCGUAUGCGAGUGUUCGGGUGUAAAACCCCUACGCGUAAUGAAAGUGAACGCAGGUGAGAGCUUCGGCGCAUCAUCGACCGAUCCUGAUGUUCUCGGAUGGAUUUGAGUAAGAGCAUACGGGGCCGGACCCGAAAGAAGGUGAACUAUUCCUGUAUAGGGUGAAGCCAGAGGAAACUCUGGUGGAGGCUCGCAGCGGUUCUGA